UUUGAAUUUGUACGUGGUUUAUGCGAUAUUUUGUUCUGCAGGCUUGCCAUUGGCUUGAUCAUAACCUCGUCAGUGGAUAUCGCAAUCAUGAGGGAAAGCCGUAUUAUAUUUUUGGGAAUGAAAUCUGCGCCCGAAACAGUGAUACAAUAAUUUGACAAGAGUAACAAUUCGAAUAACUUGGAGAACAACGAAAAAUGGAAUCGAAUGGAAUGGAACCGAUGGAAUGUGUAUUCAUUGCUGGCCGCCUAUGAAUCGCCAACCAAAGUUGCUGAGAUGUUAUAAAUAUUGUGAUCGGAAUUUUGGAAAUCAUGAAGUUUAUGAAUCUAACACGUUACAUUACAUUUGAUCUGCCCGCCACAUAACCUCACUGGCUGAAUCAUGAAAAGUAUGGAAUCAUCGGGAUUUAUAGGAUUGAAAAUACGCAUUGUUUGCGUAUAUGUGUUGUUUAUCCAAUAAUUUCAUCCGCAACCAUGCUGUUGAGAUCAUAACUUUGCUAAUGAAUAUCGUAACUAAACUAUAAAUGUACCAACGACAACAAUAAGCCAAGCCGCACAUUGCUGGAAAGCCAUGCAGGGGUUGGACAACGGAAACCCCAUUUUGGUAAACGUAUCCUUGCAGGACGUGUUUCAAAUAGUAAGAAACGAUGGGUUGUGUUGUCAAGUGAACUGUUAGUUUCGCUAAGAAAAGUUAUUUGCUGGAAAGGAGCUAGUAGCAUUGGUCGAAUUUGAAUAAUUUGUUUGUUUGGAUGCAAUUUAAAUUAUCUGCUUGUAAGAGUCACAGGAACAACUGAACUAUUUGUAAAUCGAUGAGUGGAGUGAUUGGUUAAGUGUGUCGCGUAAAAGGGAUGUCUUCGAAGUGCUGCGCGGUAAGCAAAUGUUUUACAUUACUCAUUUAUCAAAAUGGUGGCAUAUUGUUUUAAAACUGGCAAUGUGAAUUGGUUUUUCUGGGAUGAAGUUUGUUAAGUUGGUUUAAUGUAAUUUGAUGUAAACAUAAGGUUAAAGAGAUAAAAGAUUGGAUAGUUUAUCAACUGCAGGUUUCGGCGUAGAAAUAAGUUUUCUCUGGUUACGCGCAUCUUUAUGUUCACUAGAGAAUUGUUUCGCUUAGAUAACUUUAGCUUGAGUUUAAUUUGUUAUUCAAACAGAUGU